GCUCGCCAUAGCAAGGAGACAGGUAUUGCAUAGUCUACCUGGGUCUUUGUUUGCUGGCUCUGCAGAGUAUGUCAAAACGUUGUUUUACCAUUAUGCUAAAGGGACACUUCAAUAAUAAUGGCUCUCUGCCAGAAUAUUAGAUAGAAAAAAAACCAAAAAACAAUAGUUACCUUUUGUAUAAUCUGUGUGCCACAUGUUAAUGUAAAAAUAAAACCAAUAUUUUUUUUAUUUUUUUUUUAAAUGGUACCCAACCAUUGCACCCACUUUUAUUCUGUGUCCAACAGGACCUUUUGGAUUUAGGUAAGUACUUAGUUCUUGACAGCUGUUCACUAAAAGAGGUUUAUUCUUUAAGUUCUCAAUUGUCUUGCAUUAAAACCCAAAAUGAAAAAUGUAGCUAAAAGGAAUGUAUUCACAAAAAAAAAAUCUAAGUACAGUGAAUUUAUAAUCCGAAGCGCAAAAUUUAGGCUAAAAAUAAAUCAAGCUGUAACUAUAGCUUUAGAGUUGAAACAUUUUUUUUUUUUUAGCAGUCGCAGGACAGAAAUUGAUUAGAUUAAUUAAUUAGACUGAUAGGUAUAAAGAGUCCCUCCUCGUCUUACACCACAGUCCAAUUAUAAAGCUGGAAAAAAAAAGAAUGGACGGGAACCCUAGUGCUGCCAUGAGAAAUAGCCAGGGGAAAAAAGAUUACGGUGAGUUUGUAAUAAAUGUUCUCUAUUCCUGGCUAAUCGGAGCAUCACUUAUGGGUAAUACCCAAGCUCACAGAAAAGGAGGUGGAAGAAGAGGCUACGUCCAGUUUGUAGUGUUUUAUGAACGUCAUUAGGGAAGACCAGGUGGCUACUCUGCAUAUAUCAUCGUAUGGAACCUCUGCCAAAUUAGCCCAUGAAGUCGACAAUGCUGUGGUAGAAUGUGUUCUUAUUUUUAUUGGAGGAGACUGACCUUUAGAGACAUAUGCUUUCCUGAUUAUUAGCAAAACCCAACAUUUCAAUGUAGAUAAAGAAGCUGCCUCACCUCUAAUAGUUCCUGAAGGUAGAACAAAGAGUUGGUCAGUCUUUCUGGAUGACUGAGAACAAAGAAGGUAUUGAGACAGACAGUUCUUAACAUCCAAAGUUGGAUUAGGAUACAAUGAUGGAAGGACCACUUCUUGAGAGACAUGAAACUGAGAUACCACCUUAGGAAGAAACUCAGGUUUUGGUCUCAGACAAACCCAAUCCUGAUAGAUUUGUAGGCAGGAAGUCAUGGUAGAAAAACAAAAUCUUGUAAGUCAGAAGGGUAGUAUCCAAAUUUUCAAAAGGGAACAAACAGAUCAUCACUCAAUUAAUUGAGAACAAGAUCAAGGUCCCAAGGAUGGGUACCGGAUCUGGAAGGAGGUCUCAAGCUAAAGUCUGCCUUGAAGAAUCUUGAGAUCAAAGGAUCCGAAGCCCAUGAGAUAUUGCAUAAUGCUGAAAGAGCCAAGGACUGAACUCUAAGAGUGCUGAGGCUAAGGCCUUUGUCCAGAUCUUCCUGAAGGAAAUCCAGGAUCUGAGUAUUACGAGGUUGCAAGAAGUCAAUGCUCCUGGUCGAUGCCCAUUCUCUGAAUAUGUCCCAGAUUCUAUGGUAGCACGAGGAAGUAGAACCCUUCCUAGACUCCAAAAGUGUAUUAUCCCCUUCUUCAGAGAGGCCUAAGGGAUGUAGUCUUUCCUUUUGAAGACCCAUACCCCCAUCUUGAGGUGUUCUGGAUGAGGGUGGGAGAUUGGACCUUAACUCAGCAGAUCCUUCAUUAUUGGGAGAAGCAGAGGGACCGGAAUAAUAGCAAUUACCUUUUUUAAACCUUUAGCAGAAAUCUGGGUAUCAUGGGUAGGGGAGGGAAUGUAUACCCCAGAUCAAAUGACCAAGAAAGAGAAAGGGCAUCCUGGCCCAUUGCCCGAUUGUCUAGACGGAGAGAGUAGAAUUUCUCUACCUGACAGUUCCUGGAAUUUACCAACAGGUCGAUCUGCGGUAUAUCCCACCGAUGGGCAAUCCAUGAAAAAAACGCCGGGUGAAGCCACCAUUCUCCUGGAAGAAUUUCUGUUCUGCUGAUGAAGUCCGCAGUAAUGGUCUCCGAACCCGGAAAAUAGAUUACCUUUAGACCUCGAAGCCCGUUUAUGGCCACUUCCAUCAUGUUCCAAGAAGGUUCCUCCAAUGGGAAACCUUCCGACAAAUUAUUUUUGCCCUUCCACCAGUUUAAGCCUUUUCUUACUGGGAAAGGCAGAGUUAUCCUCUGAUCCCAAUCUGCUUAUAUUCUGUUGAAUUGAAGAAGGAAGCAAUGCUGAAUAGGAUGAGCCCACUAUUGGGCCCAUUUUACCAGCCCAAUUUUUGAUGUCAGAGAACCUAAGAGGCUCAUGACUUGUCUCGCUGAGGCCUUUUUAAGACUUUGUAUUUUUCCUAUUUUGUCUUAGAUUUUCAGGGCCCUGUCCAAAGAGAGAAAAACAUUGGCUGAGAUUGUAUCCAUCACUGCUCCCAGAAAGAGACAAUCUUUUGAGAAGGAAUCAGGGAGUUCUUCUCUAUGUUUAGAAUGUUUAGAAGCCAGCCAUGAUCUCGAAGAAUGUUCAUCGUCACUAGAGUAUGAUGAGCCACUAUCUGGUGAAAUAGUGAAGGAGUUUAAGCAUGAGUGGUAGAGGUUAAUAAAGUGAAGGAGUUUAAGCAUGCGUGGGAUAGACAUAAGGCUAUCUUAGAUAUAAGAGUCUAAUGAAAGUAUUUUAGAAAAUUGGGCAGACUAGAUGGGCCGAACGGUUCUUAUCUGCCGUCACAUUCUAUGUUUCUAUGUUUCUUUCUUGCGGCAAAAAGGCUUUUUUUGCCAUCUGCAGCCUUUUGUAAGGCUUCAUUCAGGGUUGUACCAAACAAUAAAUCCCCCAGAAACAGAAGGCCACACAAUAAUGCCUUGGAGGCAUAGUCGGCUUCCCACAAAUGAAGCCACAAGGAACUUAUAGAGGCUACAGAUAAGGCCAUACCUUUUACAAUCAUACGAGUGAUGUCUAAAAAGGCAUCUGAGCAGAACACCGUAGCCAGGCUGAAGUCCUUGAGAGAUUCCAGAAGAUGUUCUCUGCAGACUCCUCUGUCAAUUUCCACCUCUAGAUUAGCAAUCCACACUCUUAAGGCCCAUGUGAGAUUGGUUAAGGCCACCACAGGAUGGAGGGUGGAGCCCAGGGCUAAAUAGUAUUCUAUGAGAUCCCCAUCCAUACGCUUUUCCAUCGGUAAGCCAUGGAGUUAAUGGAGUUCAUUUUCUUAGCCGUAUGAAUCAUGGCUGAGUAAGGAUAAAUCCUUGAAACCUUAUUCAUUAAGGUGGGUUUCCUUUCAGGUUUGUUCCAUUCUUGAAGGAUCAUGCCCUUAAUAGAAGAAUGCACCGGAAAUGUUGGUCUAUUUGGAUUCAGAUCCUCAAAGAACCGGUCAGCCUCUCUCAACUCUGACUUCUCUUCCGUGAGGCUAAGAGUGUCCCUGAUAAGGGUAAUCAGUCUAUCAAUAGACUUAAAGUCUAAAAACCCGGAGGUAUAUUCAACUUCCUCCUCACAAUCAUUUGAGACAUCCCACAUAUCAGGGUCUUUUUCAGAGCAUGAAGACUGAGGUUCUGCUCUGUGUCUUUUAUAUGGACCACUUUUAUCCGUGGUAGACUUAAAGCAUUCAGCAAUAGCUUGGAAAAACCAGAGUUUAAGGUCAUGCUGUUGGGAACUUUUAUUGGAAGCAUCGCUAUUUCCAAUAAGCACUCUCUGAAAAUUUUCUUUCCAUUAAGGUGCAGAAGAUGAACAAUUCAAGCACUGUACCUGCGCGUCCCCCCGCAUCAUUUCCAGUCACACGGGGGUAGCCAUAAACAUCACUUCCGCCCGUUGGAAUGCAUACCGCGUUCCAGCACUCGAAAUGAGGAACCUGUAGCUGAAAAGAACAAAAGACCCCAGCAGAGAGGCUGAACUUCCUUUGAAAAGAACCCACGACAAACGCAGGAAGGUGGCCAAAAAAAGAAAGUGUUUAGAGUCCUGUAGAACCAGCUAAGGACAGGAAAAAAGACUGUGGUGUAAGGGGAGGAGGGACUCUUUAUACCUAUCAGUCUAAUUAAUCUAAUCAAUUCCUGUCCUGUGACUGCUAAGGGAGAGCUACCCACAAGUGAUGCUGCCAUGAGUAGCCAGGAAUAAGCAAAUAGAGGGAUGGGAAGGACAAAUUAUCAUAGCGCAAUGAACUAUGACAAUUUAGCAAAAUACUUUCACAAAUAAAUUAAAACUCAUGAAAACAGUGACACAAACAGUACCUCUCGCUUGACAUGUGUCUUCCAGUUAAUAGACUUCCUCAUAAAUCUUCUGGUCUUUUUUGGGGGGGCUAUACAGUUGUAAUCAAAAGUAUAAGUUGAAUUUGGGGAAACCACUUGAAGCAUUCGUUGUAUUGAGCUAUUUAACCCCUCAGUGACCAGACCUUUAAGGACCAGGGCUGUUUUUACAUUUCUUUGGCGUUUGUGUUUAGCUGUAAUUUUCUUCUUACUCAUUUAUUGUACCCACACAUAUUAUAUACCGUUUUUCUCGCCAUUAAAUGAUCUUUCUAAAGAUACCAUUAUUUUCAUCAUAUCAAAUAAUUUACUAUAAACAAAAGAUAUAAAAUAUGAUGAAAAAAUGUUAAAUAACACACUUUUUCUAACUUUGACCCCCAAAAUCUGCAUCUACAUCCGCCAAAAAACACCCGUGCUAAAUAGUUUACGUUUUUUUUUCUGAGUUAGAAAUACCCAAUGUUACAUGUUCUCAGCUUUUUUUUGUAAGUUAUAGGGCUAUAAGUACAAGUAGGACAUUGCUGUUUUAAAAUAUGUAUAUUUAAAAUGUAUCAAUAGUGACAUUAUAUCACUGUUAUCUGUCAUAAAUCUCUGAAUCACACCUUAUAUGUACAUAUUUUUUAAAGUAGAAAACCCAGAGUAUUCAAUAUGGAGUAUAUCCAGUCUUUUUUAGUAGCCACUUAGUCACAAACACUGGCCAAAGUUAUCAUUUAUAUUUGUUUGUGUGUUAAAAGUGCAAAAAACUAUUAUGAAUAUUAACUUUGGCCAGCGUUUGUGGCUACUAAAAAAGACUGAACAUACCCCAUUUGCAAUAUCUUGGGUUGACUUCUUUUAUAAAUGGUAUGCCAAUAUGGGUGUAAUUCUCAUUUUAUGGCUACCAUACGCUCUCAAAGGCAACAUAACCAAUCUUGCAAAUUUCAAUGUGAAAAAAAUGAAAAAUCAAGCCUUAUAUUUGACACUGUAACUUUCAAAAACAUUUUAAAACCUGUACAUUGGGGAUACUGUUAUACUCGGGAGACUUUGCCGAACACAAAUAUUAGUGUUUCAAAACAGUAAAACAUAUCACAACAAUGAUAUCAGCAGUUUGUGUGUGAAAAAUGCAAAAAACAUCACUUUCACUGACAAUAUCAUCACUGUGAUAUGUUUACUAUUACAUAAAUAUGCAUGUAGAAUUUAAAUAUAUAUACAUAUUUAUAUAGGUCCAUAGGAAAGCAUUCUCAACGCUGGCGUCUUCUCAAUGUGAAAAUCACAGUGAGAAGCGCGGAAGCGCCUCUAGCGGCUGUCAAUGAGACAGCCACUAGAGGCUGGAUUAACCCUAUUAUAAACAUAGCAGUUUCUAUGAAACUGCUAUGUUUAUAGAAGAAAGGGUUAAUCCUAGGUGGACCUGGCACCCAGACCACUUCAUUAAGCUGAAGUGGCCUGUGUGCCUAUAGUGGUCCUUUAAGGACCAUAUUUGUCAGACGUACCUAGGACGUCCGUGCUCAGGAAUGGGUUAAAUUGCUUUUGUUUAAUUUGUUCAUUGCAUACAGCUGAAAGUCUGGAAAUUUUAACAACAAACCUGAUUAGGGGUUGAAUAAUUGCAAUUACAACUGCAAAUACCCAAUGCCGCAACGUUCUUCUGCUUUCACAACGCUGCACACCCGAUAGACAUCCAUCUCUCUGUAUACAUAUUUACACAAAAUAUGCUCUCACUUUUGACAUCAGAUUGAUGCCCAAUAAUACAUCCUAUUUUAUAUAAGGUCUGUUUCUUAUUAAACGGUGGAACGCAACGCUGAUUGCUUCACCCGGAUUAGGUUUCAGGUAGAUUAUAGCUUCCGUUUUUAUAACUUAUUUUAGAGUUGGUGCGGGAUGGGUAAAGAAUAGUGCCCAACAGGGCAUUAUGCCUUUAAAAAAAAUACUAUUCCUCCAGCUAUUAACCUGUCUGGGGCUGUCUGUGGGGGUCAGGGGUCUAUACUGCAUAUGGCAUGCUGUUAACAGUUUUUAUUUUACAAGUGAUGUAUACCUCAUUCCAUAUUGUUCAACCUGUUUUAUUUGCCUGAUUUAUUCUAUUAUGACCUACAACUAACCAUGUCUAAUAGUUUUCUCUAGUGUGAUAAGCAUGGGCGUCCGCAGGAAUUUUUCCAGGGGAGAGCAUAAUUGUAAUGACAUCCAUGCUUUGCCCCUUUUUGACAGUGUCAUGAAAGGGAAGGAGCAUAGUCAUUUUCACAUAAAGCCAGGGUGAAUAGCGUUUUCACAACUAUGGUGUCAGGAAUGUAUGUUUGUAUUCCUGACACUAUAGUGUUCCUUUAAUCAAAUUAAAAGAACAUUCUGGUCACCAUAACAACUUCAUGUAAAUGAAAAUUCUAUGAUGCAAGGAGGCCCCUGGGCACUCUCUUUCUUUUAAGGGGUGAAACCGCUCUCAAAUGGUUUACCCCCAAAGGCUUCCUCAAGUUCCAGAUCUCCAGGUCGCUCAGUGGUAUUCGGCUUCUUAAACGGAGUGUCAGGAAGUGCAGAUUGACAUCAGGCAUGGGUGCCGCUGAUUGGCUAGAGUGGUCAGCUGACGCUCUAAGCCAAUUGCUAGUUCCCGAUUCAUAAAAAUGUUUUACGUUUUUAUGAAUGGUGAGCUACUGCUUGGCUUAGAGUGCCAGCUUACCCUCUAGCCAAUCAGCGGCACCCCUACCCAGCGGCCCUCCUGACACUCAGUAAGUAAAAGUGAACACAUUAACACUGAUAUUUUUUUUUACCGGGGAAGAUGAAAAGGCCCAAAGUUUCCCUGCCACGCCCGAGGUACCAAUGCCUUAUGAUGUGGUGUCCAGAAUGAAGUGCUCCAAUGUCUCAUUUUCUUCUCCUUCAUUUGACACAGUCUUCUUUUUCUUCUGAGGCUCUUUCUGCUACUUUCUGCUUAUUUUGCGCCCUUCUGCUCCUUUCUCUUUCUGAUCCCUUUCUGCUCAUUGCAGACCCUUCCUUCUCCUUGCAGGCCCUUCCUGCUCCUUGCAGACCCUUCCUGCUUCUUUCUGCCCCUUCCUGCUUCUUUCUGCCCCUUCCAGCUUCUUGCAGCCCCUUGCUGACCCUUUCUGUUCCUUCUGAUUCUUUCUGCCCCUUCCUGCUCCUUGCAGACCCUUCCUUCUCCUUGCUGCCCCUUGUAGACCUUUCCUACUCCUUGCUGACCCCCCUUGCUAAUUCUUUCUGCUCCUUUAGCGUUGUGCUCCUUCUGUCCCUUCCUGCCCCUUUCUGCUCAUUGCAGACCAUUCGAGCUUCUUGCAGCCCUUGCUGACCCUUUCUGUUCCUUCUUAUUCUUUCUGCCCCUUCCUGCUCCUUGCAGACCCUUCCUUCUCCUUGCAGACCCAUCCUGCUUCUUUCUGCCCCUUCCAGCUUCUUGCAGACCCUUGCUGACCCUUUCUGUUCCUUCUGAUUCUUUCUGCCCCUUCCUACUCCUUGCUGCCCCUUCUUUCUCCUUGCUGCUCCUUCCUGCCCCUUGCAGACCCUUCCUACUCCUUGCUGACCCCCCUUGCCCCUUGCUGCUUCUUUUUGCUUCUUUAGCGUUGUGCUCCUUCUGUCCCUUCCUGCCCCUUUCUGCUCAUUGCAGACCAUUCCUGCUUCUUGCUGCCCUUCCUGCUUCUUUCUGCCCCUUCCAGCUUCCUGCAGCCCCUUGCUGACCCUUUCUGUUCCUUCUCUUACUUUACCUUUGUGCUCCUUCUGAUUCUUUCUGCCCCUUCCUGCUUCUUGCUGACCCUUCCUACUCCUUGCUGCCCCUCCUUUCUCCUUACUGCCCCUUCCCGUUCUUUGCUGACCCUACCUGCUCCUUGCUGCCCCUUCCUGCUUCUUUCUGCCCCGUUGAGCUUUUGCAGCCCCUUGCUGUUCCUUCUAAUUCUUUCUGCCUCUUCCUGCUCCUUGCAGACCCUUCCUGCUUCUUUCUGCCCCUUCCAGCUUCUUGCAGCCCCUUGCUGACCCUUUCUGUUCCUUUUGAUUCUUUCCGCCCCUUCCUGCUCCUUGCUGCCCCUUCUUUCCAGCGUUGUGCUUCUUCUGUUCCUUUCUGCCUCUUCCUGCUCCUUGCAGACCCUUCCUGCUUCUUUCUGCCCCUUCCUGCUUCUUUCUGCCCCUUGCUGACCCUUUGUGCUCCUUCUGAUUCUUUCUGCCCCUUCCUGCUCCUUCCUGCUUCUUGCUGACUCUUCCUGCUCCCUGCUGUCUCUUCCUGCUUCUUGCAGACCCUUCCUGCUCCUUGCUGCCCCUUCUUUCUCCUUGCUGCCCCUUCUUUCUCCAUGCAGACCCUUCCUGCUCCUUGCUGCCUCUUCCUACUCCUUGUUGACCCAUCCUGUCCCUUGCAGACCUUUUCUACUCUGUGCUGCCCCUUCCUGCUCCUUCUACUUUACCCUCCUGCUCCUUGCAAACCUUUCCUACCCCUUCCUGCUUCUUGCUGCCCCUUUCUAUUCCUUACAGAACCUUUCUGCUCCUUCUACUUUACCUUCCUCUAUGCUGUUUCCCCCAUCCUUCACUUACCUGAUCUGUAGGCUGCCUCUGUGCUGCUCCCCUGCGGUUUCAGUCAUGAGAGAGAAGCAAGGAUAAGCUGUAGCUUCCUGCCUUUCUCCAUUCACACUGAAACCAAAAAUAGCAGCACAAGCUGAAAAAUCCAGGGGGGCAAGUGCCCCCUCUUGCCCCCCCCCCCCGCCAUGGAUGCCCAUGGUGAUAAGUAUUACCCAGAUCUUAGACAUGUUUUUCUAGCAUACUAUAAUUUGAAAUAUAUAGUAUUAUAAUUUUAAAAAAUGUGUCUAUCUAAAUGUCACUAUUUCCAAAAACCUAUUUUAUCUAGGUGUGUGAACAUUGUUGUGGCUUACCAAGAUUUUUGUUAUCAUUUGCACACCAUAUAUAAAGAAUAUUGAACUGAAUAGACGCAGAGCAGAUACUAGUUGAUUAGAAAAGUAGGUUUUUCUAUUGCAAUACCAAAAUUGCUUAUAUUGACACAUAUUGCUGUUUCUUAAAAAUCAUAAUACAUUGUAUUCACCUCUUAAGUCUUGUUUUUUUUGUGGUUUUUUUUGCACCCAGUUCUUUAAAUAUCAUAUUAACUGAACUAUUUUCCUUCUUUUUAUUUUUUACACAGCUAAUAAAUGCGAUGGAUUUAUGGAACAACAAGGGAUCUGAAGCUUAGCUGCUCUGAUGCCAUUGCCAUAUUGAUGUAGUCCCACUAUAUAGAGCACUUUAUGGCUGGAUAGCUCUAUAAAACUUGAGUUCCUACAGGGGUCUGAGAAGCUGACAUCACAGGAACAUUCCUGGAUUUUUCUCAUUGUAUCCAAUGGUUAAUGCUGUUUAUCUAUAAAAUGGGAGAUGUCUACAGAAAAUCCCUCUGAUUUUAAAAAUGUAGACCAUGGAAAGAUCAGAGAGAAAGAGGAAAAUGUUAAACAUUCUAAGAUGGGUUCCACAGGAGAGUAAACCCACCACAAUGUAAAAAUCAUGAUCACAUAUGCCAGGUUCCACUAGCAGCAGAGAUUUUGUCGUCACCUCAGAUGGUGUUUUACAACCAGAACUGUAUUGAUGAUCAACGCAAGAAAGCAGCAUUAACCACAACCACCGAAGCAGCAACAUGCCCUAACCCGAUCCUUUUAAGUUUGGUUUAAUUUUGGGAUUGUUUUGCAUUGCUCUGUUUUAAUAUUAUUUGUUUUGGU